rnacentral:rRNA from 1 species
AACGAACGCUGGCGGCAUGCCUAACACAUGCAAGUCGAACGAGACCUUCGGGUCUAGUGGCGCACGGGUGCGUAACGCGUGGGAACCUGCCUUUAGGUUCGGAAUAACUCAGAGAAAUUUGAGCUAAUACCGGAUGAUGUCUUCGGACCAAAGAUUUAUCGCCUUUAGAUGGGCCCGCGUAAGAUUAGCUAGUUGGUGGGGUAAAGGCCUACCAAGGCGACGAUCUUUAGCUGGUCUGAGAGGAUGAUCAGCCACACUGGGACUGAGACACGGCCCAGACUCCUACGGGAGGCAGCAGUGGGGAAUAUUGGACAAUGGGCGAAAGCCUGAUCCAGCAAUGCCGCGUGAGUGAUGAAGGCCUUCGG